GUGCUUGCUUAGGCAGCACAUAUACUAAAAUUGGAACGACACGGAGAAGAUCGGCAGGGCCCCUGCUCAAGGAUGACACAAUCCUUCGUAAAAGGAUUGUUAGGUAUUU